UACGGGGGGGGCAAGCGUUGUUCGGAAUUACUGGGCGUAAAGGGCUCGUAGGCGGCCAACUAAGUCAGACGUGAAAUCCCUCGGCUUAACCGGGGAACUGCGUCUGAUACUGGAUGGCUUGAGGUUGGGAGAGGGAUGCGGAAUUCCAGGUGUAGCGGUGAAAUGCGUAGAUAUCUGGAGGAACACCGGUGGCGAAGGCGGCGUUCUGGACUGUUUCUGACACUGAAAAACGAAAGCCAGGGGAGCAAACGGG
rnacentral:rRNA from 1 species